UGACGUAUUGAUUACACAGGACUUUUAAUCCGUUGGUCGCGAGUUCGAAUCUCGCACGUCAA
rnacentral:tRNA from 1 species